rnacentral:lncRNA from 1 species
CGGGAAUUCCACAGGUCUUCGCACUGUGGAAGCCACGAAAAGAGACACUGGAAGAUCCAUGAACAAAUCAUAAAUGGUGGGCCUAAAUAUGAUUGGGAUGCACUGUGCUAAGUGGGUGUUAGAGGAGGGCUUGAACCCUGCCCUGAUGUCCAUUUUCCUCAUCAAGUGACGCCCAGCAAAGCUGCUAGUUAUCCAAUAGGAGAGCACAGAUGGUGUGGUAGCUACAUGACUGAACAUUCAGAAGACUGCUGUGUAAGGUAUGCAAGGAGUCCAGCUCAACAUACCAGCAAUUCAGGGGGAAGCUGAGGAAGUUGUCUCUGCCAUUGGAGGUCUUUAGGCAGAGACUGAGUAACUAUUCAUUUUUUGGUAUAUUCUAGCUCUGGAUCUUUAUGCCCCCCCCCCCUCGCCCAGCUUAUCCGGAGUUUUGGGUUGGGCUGCCAUCAGUAUGCUGAUGACACCCAACUCUAUCUGUUGAUGGAUGGCCAUCCUGACUCGGCCCCAGACACACUGAUCAGAUGUUUGGAAGCUGUGGCUGGAUGGUUACGUGGGAGCCAGUUGAAGUUAAAUCCUCCGAAGACAGAGGUCCUUUGGCUGGGUCGGGACGAUAUGGGAUUGGGGGGGCAACUCCCAUCUCUUGCAGGGGCGCAAUUAGUGCCAGCACCGUCUGUUAAGAGUUUGGCUGUAAUCUUCGACACCUCCCUCUCCAUGGAGGCGCAGAUUGCAGCUAUAACAAAGGCGGCAUUUUUUCAUCUCCGCCAAGCUAAGCAGUUGGCUCCUUACCUCUCUUGCCCUGAUCUAGCCACUGUGAUCCACACGACGGUCACCUCCAGACUGGAUUAUUGUAACUCGCUCUACGUGGGGCUGCCCUUGAGACUGACCCAGAAACUCCAGCGGGUGCAGAAUGCUGCAGCGAGACUCCUUACGGGGUCCUCGCUGCGAGAUCACAUUCAUCCGGUGCUAUACCAGCUGCACUGGCUCCCGGUGGAGUACAGGAUCAGGUUUAAGGUGCUGGUUUUAACCUUCAAAGCCCUAUACGGCCUAGGACCCUCGUACCUACGGGACCGCCUCUCCUGGUAUGUCCCACAGAGGAACUUACGGUCUGCAAACAAAAACAUCUUGGAGGUCCCAGGCCACAGACAGGUUAGGCUGGCCUCAACCAGAGCCAGGGCUUUUUCGGCUGUGGCUCCGAUCUGGUGGAACGCUCUGCCAUGAUCGUUCAUGUGUUGCAGUAAGGUGGUUAAAUCCUUCCAACUAAAUUUAAAACCUCAAUUUGGAUUAGGACUUGACAUCUUUCCGCAGGGCCUGCAAGACAGAGCUGUUCCGCCAAGCCUUUGGCCAGGGCACAGCCUGACUCCCUCCUUUGGCAAUCUUCACAGAACUCUACCCAAUGGUUGCCAUCAAUUUGAUUUGAAGUAAUUUUUUAAUGAAAUGAUUUUAAAAUGUUGUCUUAUUUUAUUGUUGUUAGCUGCCCUGAGCCCGGCUUCGGCUGGGGAGGGCGGGAUAUAAAUAAAAAUUUAUUUUUAUUAUUAUUAUUAUCUCCUGCACUGAGCAGUAGGUUGGAAAAGAUAACCUCCAUGGUCCUAUCCAACUUUCUGUUCCCAGGAAAACAACACAGUGGGGUUUCAGGACUCUGGCACAGUCCCAAUUUUCUGGAAACUCCCCAAACACCCGUCAUAUAUUCUCUUAAGUUCCAUUUGAGGAAAGUAUGUUUUUUGACCAUGGCAGAUAAAUUAACAUAAUGUAACAGACUAUUGAGAUGAGUAAAAUCAAAACAAACCCUUGACAGUACAGGGUACCAACUGAUCGUUCAUGUGUUGCAGUCAGGUGGUUAAAUCCUUCCACCUAAAUUAAAAAGCUCAGUUUGGAUUAGGUACAAUUCUACAACAGUGUUGGUCUCCAGCUUGAACUUUUAUUAUUGCUGUUGUUGUUAAUUUUAUUAUGUAUUUUGUCGGUGCUUUCCAAACUAACUUUCCCUUGUAGAGCAGGAUAUAAAUAGCAGGCACUCGCUUUUUGUUCCUGCCUUUAUUUUUUCAUAAAGUUGUUAGUGUUUCUCUUGUGUGGUUUGUCUGUAAAAUUUUGCAGAAAACAUAAUAAAAACAUUUUUUUAAAAAAAAAGUUCCAUUGGGGAAUCCCCACUACAAUGGAACAAAACAAUUUCCUGCCUUUGCUUGGUGAGUUUCCUGUUAGAAAUUGCUUAACAAAAAUCAACAAGCAUGUCCUCGAGCUCUAGACAAAUCUGUUUCUGAGCCCGCCCGCCCCCUAUUUAUUCAUCCUGUUAGGAAGUCUAUUCCUUUCCUUCCAGUGGCAACUGAGCUGCUGUAGUUCUAAAAUCUAAUAGGGUCCCCACUUGCUUGGGCUUGUAAAGCCAGCCCCACAUCACUCAAAGGGAAAACUGCAAGAGACAGCAGUUUAGAAAUCCAUAACCAAAUGUGGAGAAGUGCUGUGGGAAUUCCUCCAGCCAUAGCUGUCACUAUUUUGCAGUGCUCAAAAUGCUUGCGCAGAUGAAUUGCUUUUGGUAGCUAAUGGGCUUCUCAUGGAAAGCCAGCUCUAUUAUUAAUGAGCCACUCCCUUUUCAUAAUAUUACAAAGGCAAGUCCUAUUCCACCCUGCCUCCACUUAACUGACGUCUGACUAAGAUAGUAUUCUUGGAAAAGCUAGUUACACAACAGCAUAACGUCGAUCUUCCUGCUGCCUUUAUAUAACACCACGGAUUUGUUUCAUCUCUCGGUGUUGUUAAAUAUCACUCUGCUCAUUUAUUUAUUUAUGUGCCAGAGGAGAUUAGAAUCAUAAGAAAAUAGGAACAGCCAGGGCUUUUUUUUCUUCAGCCAGAACUCACCGACACUCUCAGGUGGGUGCCAUUGCCAUUAUAAGAGAACAGGGGAGGCGUUCAUGGCAAGUUCCGGCACCUCUUUUUCUAGAAAAAAUAGCACUGCCGGAUCCAUCUAGUCCUGCAUUGUGUUCACACAGUGGCUAACCAGAUGCCCAUGGGAAACCAGCAAGCUUUAGCUGAGAUUCCUGCAUUGCAGGGGGUUGGACUAGAUGACCCUUGGGGUCCCUUCCAAUUCUACAGUUCUAUGAUAAGCAGGACCCGAACACAAGAGGCAGAGCAUGCACAUCGUGGCUAGUAGCCAUAGUUAGCAUUCUCUUCCACGAAUGUAUUGUUACAGGUUUGCAGGGAAGACCUCCUAAACCCAAGAAUUUAAUGAAUGUCAGAAUCUAGUUAAUAUUUGGAGUAUUGAAGGGGAGAUUCCAUGCCAGUGGAAAAGUACAAGCUAAGCUUCCUUUCCAAGCCUUAACAUGACAAAAGGUGUUGAUGAUCAUCAUCGUAGGCCUGGGCAGACAAGGGUUGUCAAAGGGAGUGGGGGCAGGCUGUGCUCAGAGGGGAAAUGUGCCUCUUUUAAAAAAGGCUUGGGAUAAUUGAUGGAUGAGGAGAAGUUGCUUGGGAAGAAGAAGGGGAACAAAGGCCAGAAUGAUCUUGACAGGCUAGCAGAAGGCUGGCUUGAAGAAAUGCCUUUGACUGCACUGCUGUGGGAAAUAAGCCCAUGGGUGUAGCCAGGUGGGUAGGGAGGGGCAGCUGCCCCCCCAAAUCAAUAAAAAAUCAAUAAAAAUACAUGGCAAACUGAAGUUCUGUCCCCCCCCCCCAACAAAAGGCCUGCUCCCCCUAACAAAAGUCCUGGCUAUGCGCAUGAACAAGGCCCUCUUGAGAUAACCAUUCUGUAAGAGCUGAACUCCAGCCGUCUAACUUCAGGUGUAAAUAUGUGAAUAAAUAGCAGUGCAGCAAUAAAACUGUUAGCACAUCUGAAGAGCUAAGCAGGUUCCAGUAGGUUUCAAAUUGGAUGGGAGACUGCAUAUUGAGAUGGCUGCAUUGCAGGGGAUUGGGCUCUGCCGUUCUACCUUUCUGUGAUUCUGUUUCUUAAAGCUACGACAGCCUCCACUGUGUCUUGAUUCUCAACACGACCCAAGGGUGAGGACCUGGAACCCCAAGGACUCUUGCUACCACUCAGCAGAAGUUGAGGGGCUGGCGCACCACCUGUGUAACAGUAUGUCAUCCUCUUUUGGUGGCCAUCACCACAUCCUGUGGGAACAAAUUCUAUGGUUUAGCUCAGGCACCCCCAACCUUCGGCCCUCCAGAUGUUUUGGGCUACAAUUCCCAUCAUCCCUGACCACUGGUCCUGUUAGCUAGGGAUCAUGGGAGUUGUAGGCCAAAACAUCUGGAGGGCCGCAGGUUGGGGAUGCUUGGUUUAGCUAUACACUGUGUGAAGAAGUGCUUUUCUUUUAAAUUUUCCAAUAUUCAGCUUCAUUGGAUAUCCAAUAAUUCUCUCUCUCUCUCUCUCUCCACUUCCUUCAUGUCAUGAAUAAUUUUAUAAAUGUCUGUCAUGUUGCCUCUUACUCGCCGUUUCUUAAACUAAUAAGCCCCAAAUGUCAUAGCUUUCCUCAUAGGGGAGACGCUCCAUCCCCUUGAUCAUUUUGAUUGCUCUUUUCUGAAUAAGAUUCCAGGUCUGAUUGCAACAGCCUGUAAAAUACUUAAUAGUCACAUUGUCUCCUCCUCCUCCUCCUCCUCCUCCUCCUCCUCAUGUUUUACAUGAACUUUCUGGUUGGCAAGCAGACCUCAUCCUUUUCUCAGGAAGCCAAAGGCUGUUGCGUAAGUCUGUCUUAGGCCUACAGUCUCUGGCCCAGUUUUCUUCCGAGCUACACUAAUGAGUAGCUAGAGCACCAUUGUAGAUACCAGCAAGCUGGAAUGGCUACAACUUCUGCGAGUUAUUGAGUACAUAGUGCCUAUGAAUGACUGCAGCAGAUAGCGUGGGGGGGGGCAGGUGGCUUAUUUAACAAGAAGUUACUCACACAGUUAAAAAAAGGAGAGAACGGCUUGUGCACUAAUGGACAAAUUGCAGUGGGAACAGGUAGUACAAAAUAGUGUGGGCAUUACUGACCUGGCACAGCUAAGCUCCCAAGUGACAACGGAUUUCAUGGCUGGUGCUAAAAUCAAGGUCUAAAAAAUAAUCUCGGAGGUUGUUUAUGAAUGUGCUUGUGCUACCACUCACUUCUUAGCCUGCCUUUCUUUCUUUCUUUCUUUCUUUCUUUCUUUCUUUCUUUCUUUCCUGCUUGCUUGCUUGCUUGCUUGCUUGCUUGCUUUCCCUCUUUCUUUUGAGAAAUGAAUUCAAAUCCCCUUCACACCUUGCAUGGGAGGAAACCCAGGAACCUGCAGCCAGUCCAACACUGUAGAGUUGGAAGGGACCAUGAGGAUCAUCUAGUCCAGCCUCCUACAAUGCAGGAAUCUUUUGCCCAAUGUGGGGCUCGAACCCACAACCCUGAGAUUAAGAGUCUCAUGCCCUAUCGACUGCUGAGCUAUCACAGCAGUAAUAAGAGAUUCCAUAUGAUCCAUGUGUUUUCAGCACUCCCAUUUUACUUUGUGUGUGUGCGCGCUGAAAAUUUAAUGUGUGACGUGGCAUUUGGCAUUGUGUUCUCCAGAUGUGCUUGCACAAAGGGGCUAAAGAAGGCUGAAACUUUGUAAAUAGUGUGUCACAAUCAUGACCUACCAAUCAGGACAACGAGCAACCAUGGAACAAUGAAACAAAAUAUAGAUAGGCAGAUUAUAGACUUAUGCUGAUUUGAGGUGUCUUGAAGUUUCUCUAGAUUGCAAAAGUUUCCAAGAUUAACAAAGGAGUUCAAUAGCAGCAGGUUCUCUCAUGACUACUAGAAGGAUUGUUGUGCAAACUAUCCUCAGAUGACUGAGGAUGCCUCCAGACUGUCUAUAUUUGGCAGAAGGGAUUCAAGCACAUAUUGGGAAACUGAAGUUGGUGCAUUCAAAACGGAUUAAAGUGCUUUGUUGCCCUAGCACAGGAAAUCUGCUUUUGGAAAAAGAAACACAAGUUUUGCAGUUAGGAAAGUGAUGGGGAAAUGCAUUGAAAAUGCAGCGAACAAACAAUUAAUGGGAAGAUGCAGGGCCUUUUUUUCAGCCGGAACCUGCACCUCUCAAGUGGGUGCCAUUGCCAUCAUUAGAGAACGAGGGAGACAUUCAUGGUAAGAUCCAGCACCUCUUUCUCUGGAAAAACAGCACUGGGAAUAUCCUGCAAGCAAAUUAGGAUGAAUGCUUGUUGUCAUAUAAACUCCCUGUUUUGAGCAAGCAAAUUGGGAUGAAAACAGCCACCUGGAGGAGCACGAAAUUCAGUGCAAUCAGGUUUGCACCCACAGGGCUCCUUGAGAACUGGGCUGUUGUUAGAUAAGAAUGAAAAGCCAUAAGCGGCAUAAGAAGAUCAGUAUAAAUAUUGCUGAUAGUGUUAAAUGUUGCCUUCAGGCUGAAAAAGGUAUCCAUGCCCAGCCUUGAUCUUUCCACCUGCCCGCUGCACCUCUUCACCUUUCAGGUAAGUGGUUUGUAGGGCAGCUCUGUACCACCAUGCCAGCCACUCCUAUUCCCCCCAUCCCACCUCUGUGUAAAUGCUUUAGAAAUUAUUACCAAAUAAAACUACAAUGAGGUGAAAAAUUCUGACACAAGAACCAAAUGUGGGAGACUGAGCAUUUCUCUCCCUCUCUCCCCCUUACUUGCUUAUUUUUCAUUGGUUAUCAUUUGUAUAGUAAAGUCCUUUAAUGACUGAGGAGCUACUGUCAUAGAUCACAUUUGACAGAGUAGCCAUGUAGUUUGGUACUUCUUUAGUUGUGCAAAAUAACUGUGGGUGCAGUGCAUUUAAAACUGAAGGGAGAACUUCAAGUUUUAAUUGAUAGUCCAAUUCAAAGCCAACUCCAGGUGCAAUUUCAACCCCCAAGUGAAAUCCUGCAGGUCCCAACUCCUGAAACACCCACAUCUGCAGUAAGUGUCUGCAGAAGCACUGCAUCACUAUGAUCUGCAGUAGGUGCCUGCAAGCAACCCACUCUUUUCAUGCCCCCUCCCCUAACACCCUGGUGCAGCAGCAUUCUGGGACAUAGUGGUAAUAUCAAAAGGUUGUUUUAUAAUGAAUUACCAAACCACUGCAGCCAUUUGGUAAAUUUGGGACCAGGCAAGGGGCCUUGUUCAAGUGUUGGUGGGCUGUCCGCAGCUGCCCCACCAUGGUAUUGCCACUGUUUCUGGAACAAUGAACUAACUAAAGCUUCAGGUCACAGCUGAACUUGUUCCUAUCUUCGCUGUAAAUUUGUGGGACUAUGACUGAGGCCCACCCACCACACCAGAUGCAGGCUACCCAGCCACAACAGGUCUCUUCCUUAAAGACCGCUUUCCUUCCAUUUUGUAUUGAAAGCUAACAGACAUUUUGUAUUUCGGAGCAAAAAAUGGAUAGCUUGCUUUCUGGCAACAGUGCUCAGCUGAAAUAAUUGUCGAUAUAUUUCGACAUCUGCCGCAGCAGGUGGGAACGGGGGUGAUCUUGAACUUAUUGCGAUGGCCCAGAAGCUUCAGAGUCAGAAGGACCUCCGUGUCAGAUGGAGACGGGUGUUGGGGAACAUACUGUCUGCAGACAUUACCUUCGGUCUAAGCCUGAAGCUGUGACAAAUUAAUGGACCAAAUACGAAAGCCUCCUGGGUGAAACCGCAUAAUCUCCUUAAGUCAAGGAAUGACUUAAUAGUACUUUCUGUUGCUAUUAGAGUCUUUGCCGCGAGGAUCUCAGUUUAAUUAAGGCAAGCAGCAAGAAUUGCAAGGUGGUCUGGAAAAACGGGUUAAACUGAAUGCAGCAAUAAGGAGCUCUGCGAGGAAUUUAAUUGCUGUUGGAAAAAAGCCAGUGCCAGCUCCAGGUCUUGAGGGGCCCUUGGGCAAGACAUUCUCCAUAGGCCCUUCCUCCUGCAGGGAGCCUACCUUCCCACUGCCAUUGCUGGCAGAUGUUCCUGCUCCUUGGCCUCAUCACAGCUGUGCCACCUUCUCGCUUGCCAGAACCAAUAAGCAAGCCAGCAGUUGCAGCUGCUUCCCUUCCUCCACCUCACCACAGUCAUUGUUUGCUUGCCCAUCUGGGCCAGAGCAAGUGAUUGAGGAACAAUAAGACCAAAAUAGUGAAGUCCAGAGCACUCCUGUCAGUCAAGUCAUCAUUGACUGUUUUGUUUUGGCUUAACACUUCAUAUUUCCUCCAAGUUAUUUGUAGCCAGCAGUGUACAUUUUAGAAAGUUGUGUUGAAUAAUCCUUUGAUCUUUUUUUUUUCAAUUUUAUAAUCACCAUUUAAAAAAUAACACAUCUGUCUUCACACAGGUUGGCCACUGUGAGAACAAGAUGCUGGACUAAAUGGGCUGUUGGCCUGAUUCAACAGCCUCUUCCUAUGUAGUUAUGCGCUCCUCCUCCACAAGAACUGUGGGGGAUUGGGAAAUGGCUUUCACAGCCCAAUUCUAUGUCCACUUCACCCUCUCAAACUAGUUGGGACUUGCUUCUGAGAGAAUAUGCAUAGGGUUACCCUGUCAGUGUCAACCGACACAUGAUACUCUCCAGCAAGUUUUCCACCAGUAACAUAUACACCACAUGGCAUUCCUUACCCAGCAGGUCAGAUGAACCCAGAAAUUAAUCCCGAACUGUGCAAGUGGGUGUGAUGAAUCCAUUGCAAUGAAACCUCUAAGCCACUUAUAAAAAAAGCCAAUCCUUUCUUUUGAUGGCAAGUGGUAACUAGUCAGCUGAGUGUUGAAUGUCCCAGAGGGAAGUAUGGAUGUGAGUGGCAUGUAAUCUAGAUGAGACCAAAAUAAGGAUGAGUUAACCCUUUGAUUUCUUGGUGUGUUGGUGGCUGAACUGCACAGUAAGGAUUUCUGACCUGCAUCUGACUCCAGCCUUGACAGUGCGCAUAUGAACUUGGUAGGGUAUCUAUCAUCUUUCCUCCUCUCUUUCUUCUUUUCAACAUUUCAACAAAAAACAAAACACCUGUGUAUUCUGCACUGCAUUGUCUUCUAUAAGCUCAUGUUUCCUCAUCCCUCCCACCUAGUCUCUUAAUCCUCUUACUUUAGUGCAUUGUUCGGGAAUGGCUCAAUACACUUUGCUGCCUGAGGCAAAGGAUAAGAUGGCGUGUGUCCCACCCCCAGUUGUGUGUUCAGGAGCCAACUGGUCUUUCUUUAGUACUGGAGACAGGACAGCAGCAUCCUCUUGCGCACCUGAAGGCAGCUGAUGGUGAUGCUGAGAUGGCCUCAUUCUGCUGGCACUGGUUUUUGCUGAUUUUAGAGUGUGAACCUAAGGGCAGGGAAUUACUUUUUAAAGCGCUCCGCCUGCCCUGCCACUUUCCUCUGGGAAAACCUGCUCUUUACCGCUGAAUUGGAGCAAACGUCAAUAGGGUUUUCUCUGGAUUGAUGUUUGCUCCGAUUUAGCACUAAAGAGUGGAUUUCCCAAGGGGAAGCAGCAAGGCAAACGCAAAACCACUCAGACCUGUGCUUUCUAGGGAAAAGAAGAAGUGUGGGCGAGCCCUAAUAGUUUUAGACACUUUAGAAUUUGGUGGUAGUGGUGGAUGAGCACAUGGACAGAUGUGGCUCAGGCCUGAUAAAAGAGGCAAUUCCCUAGUAGUGGUUUGCUGCAGAGUGCAAGUAAUUGCUUUGCAGUAGACUGGUUAUCUGUAUUGGGCCUGCCAAUUUCUUUUACUAUUUAUUUCUGUGUUAUAUUUAGCAGUCACCUCACGCUACGAGCCUCUAGGGUUCAUGUACAAGAGGUUUCUGAUCAGGUGAAGAAAAGUGGUGUGAGUCUCCUUUACCAUUUGGCAGGAAAAUCAACUGACUCCACUCGGACACAUUGCACAGUGACAGUCGGGCUGCAUCUACCACCCCCAACGACCUCUGCCUCCCCUCUACCCCUACUUCCUCCCCCAAUGAACUAACCUGAGUUGUGCUUUGUAUGCACUCCCCACAUGCCUAUAAUCUUUAUUCAAUAUACUGCUUGUGCAAAAUCUGCUGCUCUAAUCUAAUUUGUGUGCUUCAUUGUGCAAACAUCACAUGAAUGGCUUAUCGCAGUGAAAGGCAUAUUGUAGCAGGGAAUCUCAUGCUGGUAUAAUUAAAGGCCUGCUUGCAUAGCCAUUCACACCUCUGUUUGCAGGGAUUUAUAACUUAGCUGUACAAAUGAAUUCAGUCUCUACUGAAAAUUGGUGUUCUUUUAUCCAGAGCAUGCCUGCUUUGGAAGAACUUCCCAAAUGCAGGAAUGGGAAAUGGUCAUUAAAGAUAAAAUAAGUUGGAGUCAGCGAGAGAGAUACAUCCCUGACCUCUACAACUUAUUGUGACAGCAAGCAAGGCAAUGUGUUCAUGUGAAGCCCUUGGCAUCUAGAAAAAUAGGGGCCUAUACUGUAAUUAGAACAAAGCUUCUUUUUUUGCAGUUUCUGCUACAUUGCAGCAACAUGUUUAGAAGUGGGGCAGCUGAGUGGGUUACAUGUUUUGAUCCCAAAUUUUGUUCUGAAUUACUCCAAAUUUAUACCAAUGUAACACAACACAGUUUUCCCUGGGGCCACAUUCAUAUUGUGGCUAAAGCUGUGAUCCUAAUAGCACUUCUUUGAAAAUUAAAAUUAAUGAGGCCCUUCAACUGAAGAGUAAGAAUCUGCACCACUCUGUUUGUUAUUAAUGUUUAUUGAAAAGGCUGGAGGGAAAUGAUGCAAUGUCAAGUUCUAUUGUCAGUUGGAAUCAUUCUUAUUUUGGUGUGGAUGUUUACAGCACAACUGAGUCUAAGAGGAUUUACUCCCAGGUAAAUGAGACUUUGUAUUAUGUGCACACAAGAAUGCCUUUGCUUUUCCUGGUGAAAUGUUGGAAGCCAGUAGAGUAUGGCAUCUGUUUAUUACAUGGAUUCCUCUCUUCCUCCAAGGAGCUCAGGGCAGUGGCCUGCAUAGGAUUAUCCCAUUUUAUCCUUACUACAACCCCAUGAAAUAAGUUAGUCUGCAAGACCGAGGCUGGUCCAAGGUCACAUGUAGGCUUCAGGUCUUUGUCUUAGCUAGAAUUCAAAGCCAGGUCUCCUGGACCCAGUGUACUUUUCCCUGACUCACCUUACCAUCAAUGCUUCAGCACCCUCACAAACAUGGCCCCUCUGGAGUGGAGUAUAAUAUUGGCCAAACCUUCUAGGGCUCUUGUGGCUUUAAGCCAGCAUUCUGUCUCUGGAUUUCUAUUCACCAUAUGAAAAAGUAUGAUGAGCACGAUGCCUUCUAAGCCAGAAAUUGCUGUUGAGGGAGUUUCUUCCUUUACUAUUAGCCAACUGGCACACUUCAGUCUCUCCCCACUCCUUUGCCUUCAAAGGAGAGCAAUGGAACAUGGCCAAGGCUAAAAGGCAGGGAGUAAAAACUGUGCAUGCAGCAAGGUGUGGUCCUGAUACCCGCAUUUAUGAGCUGCACCUAAGCGUACUAAAGAAAUCUCAGAGCCUCUGUCUACAGUCGUUGAAAAUUAUUGGAAAACAGGUGAGGUCCCUGCAGACUGGAGACAGGCAAAUGUCCCUAUUUUUAAAUAGGGUGGGGAAGAAGACCCAGUUUACUACCAACUGGGGAGCUUGACAUCAAUGCCAGUAAAGGUCCUAGGACAAAUAAUUAAACAAUCUGUGAGCACCUAGAAAAGGAUGCUGUGAUUACUAAGACCCAGGAUAGGUUUCUCAAAAGCAAGUCCCGCCAGACAAAAUUCAUUUCUUUUUUUGAUAGAGUUACAAGCUUGGUGGAUCAUGGGGAUGCUGUGGACAUAGUGUAUCUUGAUUUCAGAAAGGCUUUUGACAAAGUCCCCAAUGAUAUUCUUGCAAAGAAGCUGGUAAAAUGUGGAUUAGUUAGGUGGAUUUGUAGCUUGUUGACUGACAUUAAUGGUUCCUCAUCAUCCUGGCAAAAAGUGACAAGUAGGGUGCUGCAGAACAGAGGUGGAACUAGCUGCUCCGGCACCCGGAGCGGCGCACAUGCUGUGCACCCAAGGGUGGGGCUAGCCACCCAUGGCAAGCGUCACAGGGAGGUGCAGCCCAUGGUGAGUGUCCCGGGGGGAGGCGUGCCAAUGUUACCCUCCCAUCAGGGAGGACAUCCGGGGCGGGCUGCCCCCACCGCCCCCCUUCCUCCGCCACUGCUGUGGGAUACCGUCCUGCACCCAUUGUUGUUCAAUGUCUUUAUAAAUAACUUGGAUUAAGGAAUUGAGAGGGUGUUCAUCAAAUUUGGAGAUGACACCAAAUUGGGAGGUGGAGCUAGUGCUGCAGAAGGUAGAAUUGGGGUUCAAGAUGACCCUAACAGAAUGGAAAACUGGGGCAAAACUAACAGAAUGAAUUUCACUAGGGACAUAUGUAAGGUUCUAUACUUAAGCAGGAAGAACCACCUGCACCUGGCCUAGAGGUCAAAUGUGACUCUCCAGUCAUCUUUAGUUAGCUUCUGGGACACUCCUGGGAUCAUUCCACAGUCACACUAGCCUUCUCUAUGCCCUCAUUGAAUGCUUUUUGUCUGAUUGGAAUGUACCCUUGAACUAUGAUAAUCCCUCUUGCUUGUCUGAUUGGAGGUUGGGUGGGUGUGGGUGGGUGGGUGGGUGUGUAUCUGGGUUUUUCAUGGCUGUUUGCUGCAUAGCCUACUGCACAAAUGCAAGAAUCACAUCUAUUGCUCCACCUAUUUUGCCUGUGGCUCCACCCACACCCAUCAAGUGGCAUGUGGCCCCUGGAUGUUUGCCCACAAAGGUAUGUGGGGUAUAUUCCUAUAGGAGAUCAGCUAGGGAGGCAUAACCAGACACGCUGCUUUAGCUCUGAAGACCUACUAUAAUAAUGUAAAGAUGUAAUAAAACUCUUGGGGGUUGUCCUGUUGUAUUGUUGUAAGAAAUUGUGCUAUUAUGAUGAUGUGGCUUUUCAUGUUAGCAGGAUCUACUUGUGCAGGAUCCACCAUCAAGCAAUGCAUGGUUUCCAGUCCACCAAUGCUGAGGCAGAGGGUCUGUCAUCUAAUCCCACCCUAUGAGGAUUCCAGCAGCCCCUGGAUGCUAGAGCAAUGUCUCUCAGGCAAAAGAACAGGGAGAGGAAGUCACAUUGCACAGGCAGAAGACUUUGCGCUAACAAGAUGUCUUCCUUUGAUAUGACUCAUGAGUGCCCCUGAAAAUGUGUAAAUUCUACACCAUUUAACUAAGGCACUGGAUCUCCCUGUGCCAUUGGAACGCCAAAGAAAUAAGAUCUCUUUGCAUCAAA